rnacentral:rRNA from 1 species
CCUACGGGGGGCAGCAGUGAGGAAUAUUGGUCAAUGGGCGGGAGCCUGAACCAGCCAAGUCGCGUGAGGGAAGACGGUCCUAUGGAUUGUAAACCUCUUUAGGCGGGGAGCAAUGCCGGGCACGCGUGCCCGGAGGGAGAGUACCCGCAGAAUAAGCAUCGGCUAACCCCGUCCCGGCAGCCGCGGUAAUACGGAGGAUGCGAGCGUUAUCCGGUUUUAUGGGGUUUAAAGGGUGCGUAGUCGGAUUUUUAAGUCCGCGGUAAAAUGUCCGGGCUCAACCCGGGCCGGCCGUUGAAACUGGGGAUCUUGAGUGGGCGAGAAGUAUGCGGAAUGCGUGGUGUAGCGGUGAAAUGCAUAGAUAUCACGCAGAACUCCGAUUGCGAAGGCAGCAUACCGGCGCCCGACUGACGCUGAGGCACGAAAGCGUGGGGAUCGAACAGGAUUAGAUACCCCAGUAGUC